rnacentral:rRNA from 1 species
GGUCUGCUCAAUGAAAAUCUUUAAAUGGCUGCAGUAUUUUAACUGUGCUAAGGUAGCAUAAUAAUUAGUUUAUUAAUUGUAAACUGGAAUGAAUGAUUAAAUAAAAUAAAAACUUUUUUAAUUUAAAUAAUUUAAUUUAAUAAGUAAUGUAAAAAUGCUUAUAAAUUUUUAUAAGACGAUAAGACCCUAUAAAAUUUCAUAAUUUGUUUGAAUGAUAAUUUAUUAAAUUAUAUGUUGUUUGAUUUAUUUAUUUAAUUGGGGUGAUUUUAUUAUUUAAUAAAUUAAUAAAUUUUUAAAACAUUUAAUAAUGAUUUAUUGAUCCAAAAUUUUUGAUUAGUUGAUUAAAUUACUUUAGGGAUAACAGCGUAAUGAUUUAUUUUAGUUCUUAUAAAUUAAAUUAUUUGCGACCUCGAUGUUGAAUUAAGAUUAAUUUUAAAAGUAAAGUAUUAAAA